UACGUAGGUCGCAAGCGUUGUCCGGAUUUACUGGGCGUAAAGAGCGCGCAGGCGGCUGGUCAAGUCCGAUGUGAAAUCUCCCGGCUCAACUGGGAAACUGCAUCGGAAACUGAUCGGCUUGAAGAUGGGAGAGGGUAGUGGAAUUCCCGGUGUAGUGGUGAAAUGCGUAGAUAUCGGGAGGAACACCAGUGGCGAAGGCGACUACCUGGCCUGUUUCUUGACGCUGAGGCGCGAAAGCUAGGGGAGCAAACGGG
rnacentral:rRNA from 1 species